ensembl:lncRNA
CCAAGCCUCUCCACGCUGUAGGAGAUUACUAAGAGGAAGACUUCAGACUCACUGAGGAGAACACAAAGAGAAGGAGGGAUACAGACAGAGAAGAAAGAAAGAAACUCUGCAAGUCAGAGUGCUGCUGAUGUGAAGGGAGGAAUUAAACCAUGCCGUGUAAUUAUGAGUCUAACGCUAAAGUGUCAACGCCUGCAGGUCCACAAAGAGAAGAAGAAAGAGAGGAAAAGAGGGAUGAUUGAAUAGACAGACAGAGCUCACAGUUCAUUGCUGUGUGGUGAGUCACACAUUAGGCCAGCAGCAACCUGUUAUGGCCAGUCCCAGUCUGUCUGUCUCUAGGGAGACAGGGAUGGAGAGGAGGAUGAGAGGGGGAGAAGAAUAGAGGAAAGAGGAGGAGGAUAAAGGGAAGUUGGAGUGAAGGAUAAUAGAGAGUUGAAACAGAUAAUAAGAGGGGG